AUUGAACGCUGGCGGCAUGCUUUACACAUGCAAGUCGAACGGUAACAGGUUAAGCUGACGAGUGGCGAACGGGUGAGUAAUGCAUCGGAACGUGCCCGAUCGUGGGGGAUAACGCAGCGAAAGCUGCGCUAAUACCGCAUACGAUCUGAGGAUGAAAGCGGGGGACCGUAAGGCCUCGCGCGAUCGGAGCGGCCGAUGUCGGAUUAGGUAGUUGGUGGGGGAAAGGCUCACCAAGCCAACGAUCUGUAGCUGGUCUGAGAGGACGACCAGCCACACUGGGACUGAGACACGGCCCAGGCUCCUACGGGAGGCAGCAGUGGGGAAUUUUGGACAAUGGGCGAAAGCCUGAUGCAGCAAUGCCGCGUGCAGGAAGGAGGCCUUCGGGUUGUAAACUGCUUUUGUACGGAGCGAAAAAGCUCUCUCUAAUACAGGGGGCUCAUGACAGUACCGUAAGAAUAAGCACCGGCUAACUACGUGCCAGCCGCCGCAGUAA
rnacentral:rRNA from 1 species